AGAAUGUAUCCCAUAAUUCCGUCAGGCAUCCUUAAGCUGUGUGACUCCAUGUCACAUUGCAGAUGCCCAGGGACGGGCAUACCCUUCAGAGGGGAGGGUGUAACCCACAUAAAGUGGGUAUGCCACUUUAAGAGAAGAGGUUAAGGAAGCUGGGUGGUCUGCCUGGCCAAUGAGAAGUUUGGUUUCCAGAGCGUCUGGACCAAUCAGGGUGCAGGCUGCCGUUGUGGAUCCCGCCCUUCUCCCCCGGGUCUGCAGUACCGUUGGUUUUGCUCUAGAGAUCCGACGCGGUGAGACUGCUGAGCGGGGCAGCGCCAGAAGCCGUUAGGAAUCGUUGGCUCUUUCUGGCAGUUAUUUCAGCUUGUUCUUCGUAGAUAAAAGUGCCCCACGCAUCCGGAUUGAGACCCACUAUACGGUUGUCUGAAGUGUGUCGCACUGAGAUCGGUGAGCAUAUUCGGAGCCUUUUAUUUGUGUUUUUGUCGUUUGUUACAUUGUUGUUAAAAAAAUAUCCGUUGUUUUAGUAACUAGGUAAUGUUUUGUUACUGUGUUGGAAAGAAGGAUUAAAGCUAGAACGGCUUGGUAAAGUCCUGUAUUUCUGCUGGUCCUGUCUGUUGACAGGUCAGGUUUUUUUUUAUACUGGAUCAUUCCUGAAGUGGAUCCCUCCUUUGAUAUUGAUGGCGAGCCUUCCCACCUGGACCUAAAGAGAGAACCAGAUUUCGUCUAUCCCAUUUGGAGUCAUGCUGCACCCUGCGGUGUGGUAGGAGAGCAACAUACAUCUUCACACACGGUUAUGUGUGAAACCUACAACUGACAUUCUCCAUUAUUAUUGUU